rnacentral:rRNA from 1 species
UACGGAGGGGGCUAGCGUUGUUCGGAAUUACUGGGCGUAAAGCGCGCGUAGGCGGCUUUGUAAGUUAGAGGUGAAAGCCCGAAGCUCAACUUCGGAAUUGCCUUUAAGACUGCAUCGCUAGAAUCAUGGAGAGGUUAGUGGAAUUCCGAGUGUAGAGGUGAAAUUCGUAGAUAUUCGCAAGAACACCAGUGGCGAAGGCGGCUCACUGGCCCGGUACUGACGCUGAGGUGCGAAAGCGUGGGGAGCAAACAGG